rnacentral:rRNA from 1 species
ACGCUCGACACCUACGGGGAGGCAGCAGUUGGGAAUAUUGGACAAUGGAGGAAACUCUGAUCCAGUGACGCCGCGUGAAGGAAGAAGGUCUUCGGAUUGUAAACUUAUUUUGUCAGGGAAGAAAAAUGACUGUACCUGAAGAAAAAGCACCGGCUAACUACGUGCUAGCAGCCGCGGUAAUCUGAGCGGGCUGGCAAGGC